rnacentral:rRNA from 1 species
ACGAACGCUGGCGGCAGGCUUAACACCUGCAAGUCGAGCGCAUCCUUCGGGGUGAGCGGCAGACGGGUGAGUAACGCGUGGGAAUCUACCUUUUGCUACGGAAUAGCUCCGGGAAACUGGAAUUAAUACCGUAUGUGCCCUUAGGGGGAAAGAUUUAUCGGCAAGAGAUGAGCCCGCGUUGGAUUAGCUAGUUGGUGGGGUAAAGGCCUACCAAGGCGACGAUCCAUAGCUGGUCUGAGAGGAUGAUCAGCCACAUUGGGACUGAGACACGGCCCAAACUCCUACGGGAGGCAGCAGUGGGGAAUAUUGGACAAUGGGCGCAAGCCUGAUCCAGCCAUGCCGCGUGAGUGAUGAAGGCCUUAGGGUUGUAAAGCUCUUUCACCGGAGAAGAUAAUGACGGUAUCCGGAGAAGAAGCCCCGGCUAACUUCGUG